rnacentral:rRNA from 1 species
AUCUAUGGCAAUAUCAGUCUGAAAGUGCCUGAUCUUGUCAGAUCUUAGAAGCCAUCCAGACUCGGGCCUGGUUAGCACUUGUAUGGGAGACCUACUAGGAACCUCAGGUGCUGUAACGG